rnacentral:rRNA from 1 species
CAAAGGCUUGGUCCUGACUUUACUGUCAACUUUAGCUAAACUUACACAUGCAAGUAUCCGCCCCCCUGUGAGAAUGCCCUAACAGUUCCCUGCCCGGGAACAAGGAGCCGGUAUCAGGCACAUCCUAUUGAGCCCAUGACGCCUUGUUAAGCCACGCCCUCAAGGGAACUCAGCAGUGAUAGACAUUAAGCCAUAAGUGAAAACUUGACUUAGUUAAGGCUAGUAGGGCCGGUAAAUCUCGUGCCAGCUACCGCGGUUAUACGAGAGGCCCAAGCUGACAAAACACGGCGUAAAGCGUGGUUAAAGAGAGAUCAAUACUAAAGCCGAACACCCUCAUGGCAGUUAUACGCAUCCGAAGGUUAGAAGCCCAACUACGAAAGUGGCUUUAUCCCCCUUGAACCCACGAGAGCUAAGGCACAAACUGGGAUUAGAUACCCCACUAUGCCUAGCCCCAAACAUUGACAGCACAAUACAUCCGCUGUCCGCCCGGAGACUACGAGCAUUAGCUUGAAACCCAAAGGACUUGGCGGUGCUUUAGAUCCGCCUAGAGGAGCCUGUCCUAGAACCGACAACCCCCGUUCAACCUCACCUUUUCUUGCUUUUCCCGUUUAUAUACCCCCGUCGUAAGCUUACCCUGUGAAGGCCUAGUAGUAAGCAAAAUUGGCACAGCCCAGAACGUCAGGUCGAGGUGUAGCGAAUGAAAAGGGAAGAGAUGGGCUACAUUCUCUCUUUAAGAGAAUACGGAUAAUGGCUUGAAACAGCCAUCUUGAAGGAGGAUUUAGCAGUAAGCGAGAAGUAGAGAGUCCCGCUGAAAUUGGCCCUGAAGCACGCACAUACCGCCCGUCACUCUCCCCGAGCCCGCAAAUUAGUUAACUAAAACCCUAGACAUAGCAUUAAGGGGAGGCAAGUCGUAACAUGGUAAGUGUACCGGAAGGUGCACUUGGAUAAAU